rnacentral:rRNA from 1 species
GUGGGGAAUAUUGGACAAUGGGCGAAAGCCUGAUCCAGCCAUGCCGCGUGUGUGAAGAAGGUCUUCGGAUUGUAAAGCACUUUAAGUUGGGAGGAAGGGUAGUAACCUAAUACGUUGCUACUUUGACGUUACCGACAGAAUAAGCACCGGCUAACUUCGUGUCAGCAGCCGCGGUAAUACGAAGGGUGCAAGCGUUAAUCGGAAUUACUGGGCGUAAAGCGCGCGUAGGUGGUUUUGUAAGUUGGAGGUGAAAUCCCCGGGCUCAACCUGGGAACUGCCUCCAAAACUGCAUGACUAGAGUACGGUAUAGGGUAGUGGAAUUUCCUGUGUAGCGGUGAAAUGCGUAGAUAUAGGAAGGAACACCAGUGGCGAAGGCGACUACCUGGACUGAUACUGACACUGAGGUGCGAAAGCGUGGGGAGCAAACAGGAUUAGAUACCCUUGUAGUCC